GUAGGGAAUCUUCCACAAUGGGCGCAAGCCUGAUGGAGCAACACCGCGUGAGUGAAGAAGGGUUUCGGCUCGUAAAGCUCUGUUGUUAAAGAAGAACACGUAUGAGAGUAACUGUUCAUACGUUGACGGUAUUUAACCAGAAAGUCACGGCUAACUACGUGCCAGCAGCCGCGGUAAUACGUAGGUGGCAAGCGUUAUCCGGAUUUAUUGGGCGUAAAGAGAGUGCAGGCGGUUUUCUAAGUCUGAUGUGAAAGCCUUCGGCUUAAACGGAGAAGUGCAUCGGAAACUGGAUAACUUGAGUGCAGAAGAGGGUAGUGGAAAUCCAUGUGUAGCGGUGGAAUGCGUAGAUAUAUGGAAGAACACCAGUGGCGAAGGCGGCUACCUGGUCUGCAACUGACGCUGAGACUCGAAAGCAUGGGUAGCGAACAGGAUUAGAAACCCGUGUAGUCC
rnacentral:rRNA from 1 species